ACUUGAUCUCAAAUCAGGCAGGACUACCCGCUGAACUUAAGCAUA
rnacentral:rRNA from 1 species